rnacentral:lncRNA from 1 species
GCUCACCUGAAUCCAGAGGGUCAGAGUGUCCGGGCGACUGGGAGCUGAUGGGGGGGGAACUUGGGGGUCCCCAUGGUGGUGGCUGUGGCCAUGGUGGGGGUCCCCAUGUUGAUGAUGGGGGUCCCCAUGUUGAUGGCCAUGGCCAUGGUAGGGGUCUCUAUGGGGGUCCCCAUGGUGGUGGCCAUGAUGGGGGUCCUCAUGAUGAUGGUAGGGGUCCCCAUGGCCAUGAUGGGGGUCCCCAUGGCUGUGGUGGGGGUCCCUAUGGGGGUCCCCAUGUUGAUGGCCAUGAUGGGGGUCCCCAUGUUGAUGGCCAUGAUGGGGGUCCCCAUGGCCGUGGUGGGGGUCCCUAUGGGGGUCCCCAUGUUGAUGAUGGGGGUCCCUAUGGGGGUCCCCAUGUUGAUGGUGGGGGUCCCUAUGGGGGUCCCCAUGUUGAUGGCCAUGAUGGGGGUCCCCAUGGCCAUAGUAGGGGUCCGUAUGGGGGUCCCCAUGGCCAUAGUGGGGGUCCCUAUGGGGGUCCCCAUGUGAAUGGCCAUGGUGGGGGUCCCCAUGGCUGUGGUGGGGGUCCCUAUGGGGGUCCCCAUGUUGAUGGUGGGGGUCCCUAUGGGGGUCCCCAUGGCUGUGGUGGGGGUCUCUAUGGGGGUCCCCAUGUUGAUGGCCAUGGCCAUGGUGGGGGUCCCUAUGGGGGUCCCCAUGUUGAUGGUGGGGGUCCCUAUGGGGGUCCCCAUGGCCAUAAUGGGGGUCCGUAUGGGGGUCCCCAUGUUGAUGGCCAUGGUGGGGGUCCCCAUGGCCAUAGUGGGGGUCCCUAUGGGGGUCCCCAUGGUGGGGGUCCCCAUGUGAGUGUCCAUGCUGGGGGUCUUCGUGUUGGUGCCCACGACUAAACAUGGCCGUCAAGGUGUGGCCGUGGCCGCUGUCCACAUGGAGCUGGUGCUGACCAUGGCCGAGGUCCUCCCGGUGAUGGCCGAGGUCCUCCCGGUGAUGGCCGAAGUCCUCCCGGUGAUGGCGGAAGUCCUCCCGGUGAUGGCGGAAGUCCUCCUGGUGAUGGCGGUCCCCGUGAGAGGCGGAAGGGAGGAGGCAGAGAGCCAGAGUGGCGGCCAUGAUGGCGGCCAUGUUGGAGGCCGCUGGUUCCCGGGGCUGGAGGACCGUCGCCAUUGAAGCUGUGGGGGGAGAUCUGCCAUUGGGGUCAAUGGUGGGACUAUAGAGAUGGGGGAGAUAGAGCGGCUAUGGGGGGAGAUCUGCCAUUGGGAUCAAUGGUGGGAUCAUAGAGAUGGGGGAGAUAGAGCGGCUAUGGGGAGAGAUCUGCCAUUGGGGUCAAUGGUGGGAUCAUAGAGAUGGGGGAGAUAGAGCGGCUAUGGGGGGAGAUCUGCCAUUGGG